CAAACAAGGAUAAGUGAAAAAAUAUCAGCGAUUGAUGGAGGAUAUUGGAUACUUCAGAAAGAGAAGGAGAAAGAGUAAGAUGCGUGGCGAGGCGAGACAGAAGAAGUGUGGCGGUGUGUAUAAAUGAAGCUGCAGUUGACAGACACGUGCGCCCCGAAAUGAUGAUGGAUCAACAACGGUCAGCCGAGGAAAAUAAGGGAAAAUCGUAAAGAG
ensembl:ncRNA lncRNA:CR44886 long non-coding RNA:CR44886